rnacentral:rRNA from 1 species
GACGAACGCUGGCGGCGUGCCUAAUACAUGCUAGUAGAACGCUGAAGAGAGGAGCUUACUCUUCUUGGAUGAGUUGCGAACGGGUGAGUAACGCGUAGGUAACCUGCCUUGUAGCGGGGGAUAACUAUUGGAAACGAUAGCUAAUACCGCAUAACAAUGGAUGACACAUGUCAUUUAUUUGAAAGGGGCAAUUGCUCCACUACAAGAUGGACCUGCGUUGUAUUAGCUAGUAGGUGAGGUAAUGGCUCACCUAGGCGACGAUACAUAGCCGACCUGAGAGGGUGAUCGGCCACACUGGGACUGAGACACGGCCCAGACUCCUACGGGAGGCAGCAGUAGGGAAUCUUCGGCAAUGGGGGCAACCCUGACCGAGCAACGCCGCGUGAGUGAAGAAGGGUUUCGGAUCGUAAAGCUCUGUUGUAAGUCAAGAACGGGUGUGAGAGUGGAAAGUUCACACUGUGACGGUAGCUUACCAGAAAGGGACGGCUAACUACGUG